AGCGAACGCUGGCGGCAGGCCUAACACAUGCAAGUCGAACGAACUCUUCGGAGUUAGUGGCGGACGGGUGAGUAACACGUGGGAACGUGCAUUUUGGUUCGGAAUAACUCAGGGAAACUUGUGCUAAUACCGAAUGUGCCCUUCGGGGGAAAGAUUUAUCGCCAUUAGAGCGGCCCGCGUCUGAUUAGCUAGUUGGUGAGGUAACGGCUCACCAAGGCGACGAUCAGUAGCUGGUCUGAGAGGAUGACCAGCCACACUGGGACUGAGACACGGCCCAGACUCCUACGGGAGGCAGCAGUGGGGAAUCUUGCGCAAUGGGCGAAAGCCUGACGCAGCCAUGCCGCGUGAAUGAUGAAGGUCUUAGGAUUGUAAAAUUCUUUCACCGGGGACGAUAAUGACGGUACCCGGAGAAGAAGCCCCGGCUAACUUCGUG
rnacentral:rRNA from 1 species